rnacentral:rRNA from 1 species
GAUGAACGCUGGCGGCGUGCUUAACACAUGCAAGUCGAACGAAGCACCUUAUUCUGAUUUCUUCGGAAUGAAAAAUUUGGUGACUGAGUGGCGGACGGGUGAGUAACGCGUGGGUAACCUGCCUCAUACAGGGGGAUAACAGUUAGAAAUGGCUGCUAAUACCCCAUAAGACCACAGCACCGCAUGGUGCAGGGGUAAAAACUCCGGUGGUAUGAGAUGGACCCGCGUCUGAUUAGGUAGUUGGUGGGGUAACGGCCUACCAAGCCGACGAUCAGUAGCCGACCUGAGAGGGUGACCGGCCACAUUGGGACUGAGACACGGCCCAAA